rnacentral:rRNA from 1 species
AACGAACGCUGGCGGCAUGCCUAACACAUGCAAGUCGAACGAAGGCUUCGGCCUUAGUGGCGCACGGGUGCGUAACGCGUGGGAAUCUGCCCCUCGGUUCGGAAUAACAGUUAGAAAUGACUGCUAAUACCGGAUGAUGACUUAGGUCAAAAGAUUUAUCGCCGAGGGAUGAGCCCGCGUAAGAUUAGGUAGUUGGUGGGGUAAAGGCCUACGAAGCCGACGAUCUUUAGCUGGUCUGAGAGGAUGAUCAGCCACACUGGGACUGAGACACGGCCCAGACUCCUACGGGAGGCAGCAGUGGGGAAUAUUGGACAAUGGGCGAAAGCCUGAUCCAGCAAUGCCGCGUGAGUGAUGAAGGCCUUAGGGUUGUAAAGCUCUUUUACCAGGGAUGAUAAUGACAGUACCUGGAGAAUAAGCUCCGGCUAACUCCGUGCCAGCAGCCGCCGUAA